CGGCUCCUUCCACGAACCAGAGUGCCGUCGCGCGCCGCAACUCGUUGCGUGUCGUCGCGUUCGGUGCGCCUGGGUGGACAGGUGGUUCCCAGCGGCGUCGGCGACAAUGCACUUCCCCCCUAGUAGAAAUGUCGCGACCCGUCGGGUGCCGGUCUCGAGGCCCUUGGCCGGCAGAACGUGCGUCCCGCCGGUUCUCGGCGGGCGCGCGGACGCUGGGCGACCYGGCCGGCCGCCCGACGGAAGACGGCUCGGAGGAGUCGAUCCGCUUUGGUUGUGAAGCGUCGGAACUGGGGACCGGCGAGUAACGGGUGCCGCGAGGGGUUUUCCAACCGUGCUCUGCACAAACCCCAGGCAAUUGUGCGCCGUCGGUAGCCCAGUUCCGAGACCGGAAAACACUCCAGUCGGCGGCCAGGGAAUCGGGUGUUCUCCCGACCCGUCUUGAA
rnacentral:rRNA from 1 species